rnacentral:rRNA from 1 species
UACGGGGGGAGCAAGCGUUGUUCGGAUUUACUGGGCAUAAAGGGCGCGUAGGCGGCGUGACAAGUCACUUGUGAAAUCUCCGGGCUUAACUCGGAGCGGUCAAGUGAUACUGUCGUGCUAGAGUGCGGAAGGGGCUACUGGAAUUCUCGGUGUAGCGGUGAAAUGCGUAGAUAUCGAGAGGAACACCUGCGGCGAAGGCGGGUAGCUGGGCCGACACUGACGCUGAUGCGCGAAAGCCAGGGGAGCGAACGGG